GAGAGGUUUAACUCUUUGCAAGGAAACACAAGGGAGAGGGGAAGCCGCCUGCAAGGAGAGGGGAUCUCUGCAAUCAGACCCAGUUGGACCCUGUCAUUAGAGGAAAAGCUCUGGGGAAAGAUGGCUCUGGAAAAAAGGUUCAGGGCUCUGCUCGUGGGUUUUCCUCCUCCACAGCUUGGUUUCUCCAUCAGUGAGGCCUGGCACUGGGAAAGCUUUGAGGUCAUCUGCAUUGCGUUCUGCACCUGCAUGCUCUCCUGCAGCAGCAGUGACAACAGCGUGCCUGGCCUGCACCCCCCGCAUGGGAACAGUCAGGCAUGGCGUGGGCAUUGCCGAAGUCUCUGCGGUGUCAGGAUGGGAGAGAAGAUAAAGUCGAAACAGGGAAGCAGUUGCAGUCCAGGUGCCAAGCGGACGUUGCACAACCAGCCAUGGGAAGAAAGGCUCAAGGCUGUGACUUUGCUGGGCUGGUGUCACCGGAUUUCUUGCCCUUCCCCAUGAGCGAUCCCACUUCCUCUCGCCCACGCAGUCCGCAGAGAAACACGAAGAGGAAAAGAAGCGAGGAAAUGCCCCGCUUUGGGGCCAAGGCAACACCACCACCAAGGCCAAUUCUCUCCCAAACCUUAGAAAGCCUCAGCGAUGGCGAGGGCCCCGCUGCCGGCGGCUGCAGCUGGAGCCAGCAGGUGCCCAGCCAGCUGUGGGAAGCGACGGAGCAGGCGCUGCUGCCGCUUCGCCGGACCUGCUCACCACGACGGGGCCAGGCG
rnacentral:lncRNA from 1 species